rnacentral:rRNA from 1 species
AAAUUGAAGAGUUUGAUCAUGGCUCAGAUUGAACGCUGGCGGCAGGCCUAACACAUGCAAGUCGAACGGUAGCACAGAGAGCUUGCUCUCGGGUGACGAGUGGCGGACGGGUGAGUAAUGUCUGGGAAACUGCCUGAUGGAGGGGGAUAACUACUGGAAACGGUGGCUAAUACCGCAUAACGUCGAAAGACCAAAGAGGGGGACCUUCGGGCCUCUUGCCAUCAGAUGUGCCCAGAUGGGAUUAGCUUGUUGGUGAGGUAACGGCUCACCAAGGCGACGAUCCCUAGCUGGUCUGAGAGGAUGACCAGCCACACUGGAACUGAGACACGGUCCAGACUCCUACGGGAGGCAGCAGUGGGGAAUAUUGCACAAUGGGCGCAAGCCUGAUGCAGCCAUGCCGCGUGUAUGAAGAAGGCCUUCGGGUUGUAAAGUACUUUCAGCGGGGAGGAAGGUGUUGUGGUUAAUAACC